AAGAGCGAGGAUCUGGAUCAACAUACAUUAUACUUAUACGUAUACCUUUAUUCAUUUCAAAAUAUUUUUCUACUACAAAUUCAUCCACUCGUUCUUCUAUCAGUCAACCUCAACAGAUAAAACCUAUUAUUGGCACUCAAGAUUAACAAGAUUGGCACGAAGAAGAAAUGGAGUCAUCGAAUUCGUUUCAAUUCUAUCUAAAAUCGAGAGCUAUCAUUGAGAUCAUGAUUACUCAAGAUAAUUCAAAGACAGAAGGUAAUUAAAAUCGUGACAUCGACGCUAAAAAUGACCAUCGUCAAAUGAUCAUCAAAACAGCGGGAUUAUUUAAACAUGCGCAUCGUAAGACUAAUCGAGAAAGAAACCAACAACAAAGUAGCGAGACUCCGGUUUCAAAUCGAGAGAAACUCAUUAUGAGAGAUCACCGGAAAGUUUUGGCGGUACAAUCGAGCACAGCCCCUGCCCCUCCCCCCGCGGAACACCGAUAAGAUUGGCUGGAAGUAAUUACGGGGUCCUCAAUUAAGCCGACGCCCGAUAAUUUCGUGCGAGGAUCUGGAGCGUCAGAAUCACAACGAAGCUAAUUAUUGAGAUUUUCGUCAGGUCGGCUGACAGGGACCGUUGCUCCGUGUAAUUCCACGUUAAUUG
rnacentral:misc_RNA from 1 species